UUAUUUCAUAGAUAAUUACUUCAGAAUAUUUAAUCAACAUUUCGUAAUGAUUAUUUACAGUAAUCGAGAACAGUGUUCAAGAGUUGUUCUAUGCAGUUUGUCGUCAAAGUUACAGUUGUGCUGCAUAACAUUUGGGAAGUUAAUGACAGGAGGGUCUGCUACAGUUGUGAAGGUACAUAAUAAAUUGGACGGCUAUCUCUAUGCGAUCAAAAGAAUUUAUUUGAAUCAGACAAGUGUUCUGUUAAAUCGCAAAAUUGCUCGAGAAGAGAAGUUCCUUUCUAGAUUGAAUCAUGAAAAUAUUGUAAAGUAAAAAGAAAUUUACUAUCCAAAAUAAAUCAAAAUUUUAUAACAUAAGGAUUGAAAGCGAGGUUCAAUUUAGAGGAUACAAAUUGCUUGGCUUUUUAAAAGUUAUCUUUGUAAAAACUGUUAUAAAAAAGUAGAUAAUCCCUUUUUUUCAUGAAGCACAUGGAUGCUUUUAUUCACGAUGAGAAAGUUAUAUUUUAAGAGAAGGCUCUCGCUCGUCACGAGAGAGUCAUGAGGAAGUUACAUUGUAAAAGGUAACAUGUAAAAAACGUAUAAACAUGUUUAGAGUUGGUUUAAAUUCUAAGUCAA